GGUUUUCUUAGGGUUUGGGUUUUGGGUUUUGGGCUUUUGGUUUUUUAAGGGUUUAUGGUUCAGGGUUUAGAGUUUGGGAUUUAGGGUUUCUUAGGUUUAGGGGUUUUAAAGUUUUUUUUUUAAAGUUUUCUUAGUGAUUUUUAGGGUUUAGCGUUUAGUGUAUUUAGGUUUCUUAGGUAUAAGGUUUAUUAAGGUUGGUUUAGGGUUUAGG
rnacentral:lncRNA from 1 species